rnacentral:rRNA from 1 species
GUGGGGAAUCUUGCGCAAUGGGUGAAAGCCUGACGCAGCCAUGCCGCGUGAAUGAUGAAGGUCUUAGGAUUGUAAAAUUCUUUCACCGGGGACGAUAAUGACGGUACCCGGAGAAGAAGCCCCGGCUAACUUCGUGCCAGCAGCCGCGGUAAUACGAAGGGGGCUAGCGUUGCUCGGAAUUACUGGGCGUAAAGGGCGCGUAGGCGGACAGUUUAGUCAGAGGUGAAAGCCCAGGGCUCAACCUUGGAAUUGCCUUUGAUACUGGCUGUCUUGAGUACGGGAGAGGUGAGUGGAACUCCGAGUGUAGAGGUGAAAUUCGUAGAUAUUCGGAAGAACACCAGUGGCGAAGGCGACUCACUGGCCCGUUACUGACGCUGAGGCGCGAAAGCGUGGGGAGCAAACAGGAUUAGAAACCCUUGUAGUCC